AUUGAACGCUGGCGGCAGGCCUAACACAUGCAAGUCGAACGAGUGGCGGACGGGUGAGUAAUGUCUGGGAAACUGCCCGAUGGAGGGGGAUAACUACAGGAAAAGGUAGCUAAUACCGCAUACCAUCGGAUGUGCCCAGCUGGGAUUAGCUAGUAGGGGGGGUAACGGCUCACCUAGGCGACGAUCCCUAGCUGGUCUGAGAGGGUGACCAGCCCCACUGGAACUGAGACACGGUCCAGACUCCUACGGGAGGCAGCCGUGGGGAAUAUUGCACAAUGGGCGCAAGCCUGAUGCAGCCAUGCCGCGUGUAUGAAGAAGGCCUUCGGGUUGUAAAGUACUUUCAGCGAGGAGGCGUUACUCGCAGAAGAAGCACCGGCUAACUCCGUGCCAGCAGCCGCGGUAAUAC
rnacentral:rRNA from 1 species